rnacentral:rRNA from 1 species
CCUACGGGAGGCAGCAGUGGGGAAUAUUGGGCAAUGGGCGCAAGCCUGACCCAGCAACGCCGCGUGAAGGAAGACGGCUCUCGGGUUGUAAACUUCUUUUGUCAGGGACGAGUAGAAGACGGUACCUGACGAAUAAGCCACGGCUAACUACGUGCCAGCAGCCGCGGUAAUACGGAGGGGGCAAGCGUUGUGCGGAUUUACUGGGGGUAAAGGGCGUGUAUCAGGGUGAACAAGUCAGAUGUGAAAUCCUGCGGCGUAACCGAGGAACUGCAUUUGACACUGUUUGUCUUGAGUACUGGAGAGGCAGAUGGAAUUCCUAGUGUAGCGGUGAAAUGCGUAGAUAUUAGGAAGAACACCAGUGGCGAAGGCGGUCUGCUGGACAGCAACUGACGGUGAGGCACGAAAGCGUGGGGAGCAAACAGGAUUAGAUACCCCUGUAGUC